rnacentral:rRNA from 1 species
UACGUAGGGGGCAAGCGUUGUCCGGAUUUAUUGGGCGUAAAGAGCGUGUAGGCGGCCAGGUAGGUCAGCUGUGAAAACUCGAGGCUCAACCUCGAGAUGUCGGCUGAAACCAUCUGGCUAGAGUCCGGAAGAGGAGAAUGGAAUUCCCGGUGUAGCGGUGAAAUGCGCAGAUAUCGGGAAGAACACCUAUGGCGAAGGCAGCUCUCUGGGACGGUACUGACGCUGAGACGCGAAAGCGUGGGGAGCGAACAGG